UGCAGCAGGUUGCAGCAGGCUGCUGGGCUCCCAUGCUGCUCGCUCUCUCUUUUUGGGGAUGGUGCUGGGCUUCUGCUGGGCUUUUUUGGGUUCUGCUUUCUGUUGGGCUGCUCUGUUGGUGUCAGUGCAGGGGUGCUGCUGCUGGGCUCUGACCUUGUUUCCUUCUUUUUGCAGUGGUAUUGCUGUUGCUGCCCCUGCCUGCUUUGGAUCCAGCACAGGGCUGCUGCCGGAUUCUCUCUGCUCCUUACAGCCUACGCAGGGCUCUUGCAAAGCAGCUCUCACAGUACCUUUGUAGGGGGGAGCCAAGGGCUUUUUGCAGGCACCGCAGCGAUGGAAGAGAGCAGAACGGGCAAAGGAUGAGAGCUCCAGUGAGAAUCAGCCCAAAUUACUGAGGGGCUGUGGCAACAACGGGACCCCAGAGGGUGAGGUGCUUCGCAGGAGGGAUCAGCCCAAAGCUGCAAGGGGCACAGUAUUGCUGGUGGCCACCUCUCCAGCCCAUCCAGGUCCUGCAGGAGGGCAGCACGGCCUUCAGGCACAUCAGCUGCUUUUCCAGGCUUUGUAUUGUUAGCGUACUUGCUGAGGGUGGGCACAGUCCCCUCAUCAAGGUCACUAAUGAAGAUAUUGCACAAGCUCAGCAUCAGCUGCUAGGGAGCACAGCUAAGCGUCCCCAUCCAUUCAUCUAUUGGGAUGUCAGGGGAGGAAAAACUUCAGAUCUUUUGAUACAAGGGCCUCGGUGCACAGGUCCCACCCCAGCAGCCCCUCGGGGCUGUUUUUCCUGCAGGGGCAGGAUCCCAGCUGGGUGAAGCCAUUGGAAGCUCUGCAGAGCAAGGUGCAGCCUGCAUCAGGGAGGAAGGCCACCAGCUCUGUCACCCCUGCCAGGGGGUGGGGUGACAGAGCUGGGCAUUGCAGAAGGUGCACAGCCUCCAUGAGGAAUUGAGAGGACCCAACAGCAUCUGUGAGAUUGUUUUUGACCAUGACAGGAGCAGUGGCUUUUGUGACAGGUGCCAGUCUUCCAGGGCAGUCCCUGCACAUCUUCCAGGCUGCGGAGCAGCAAGACUGAGUAGGUACUUUUAUUUUUCUUGGGUUCCACUCGGGAGUCAGAGCUGUAGGAGGUUGAUAUUAGAGUGCAGUGUAGCAUCUUGAAGGGGAAGGGCUUGCACCGGGGCGUCUUCCCCAGGGACGGGCUUAGGUCACAGGGUUAUUGUGGGAAGCGUUUUUUGUUUGCAAUUGUGAGGAGGGGUGCUUGCGAAAGUAGCAGGCAGACAAGUUGUUGUUAGCAGUUGUAAUGUGUACGCUUCCUUGUUGCAAGAGGUUUGUUUGCGAAGUGUUUUUUUUUGCUGGUGUCUUGAUUGUUUUCAGGGUAUUUGUUUUUGAGGGGGCUGGUCGUAGCUUCUUUCAGAUAGCUGGGAGUUGGUUUGCUGCUUGUGUCUUUUCAAGCUUGGCAAUGUGAGUGGGGUGGUGGUUUCCUCCUCUUUGGGGAUGGGGUGCAUUUGGUUUUUGUUUUGGUGCUGGAGAGUGGGGGGUGCACUAUCUCGAAGAGAUUAUAUUUUUUUUUUUGGUGGGAGGGUGGGUUUUGCUGUC